UACGUAGGGGGGCAAGCGUUGUCCGGAAUUAUUGGGCGUAAAGAGCUCGUAGGCGGUUUGUCGCGUCUGCCGUGAAAGUCCGGGGCUCAACUCCGGAUCUGCGGUGGGUACGGGCAGACUAGAGUGAUGUAGGGGAGACUGGAAUUCCUGGUGUAGCGGUGGAAAUGCGCAGAUAUCAGGAGGAACACCGAUGGCGAAGGCAGGUCUCUGGGCAUUAACUGACGCUGAGGAGCGGAAAAGCAUGGGGGAGCGAACAGG
rnacentral:rRNA from 1 species